ACGAACGCUGGCGGCGUGGAUAAGACAUGCAAGUCGAACGAGAGAAUUGCUAGCUUGCUAAUAAUUCUCUAGUGGCGCACGGGUGAGUAACACGUGAGUAACCUGCCCCCGAGAGCGGGAUAGCCCUGGGAAACUGGGAUUAAUACCGCAUAGUAUCGAAAGAUUAAAGCAGCAAUGCGCUUGGGGAUGGGCUCGCGGCCUAUUAGUUAGUUGGUGAGGUAACGGCUCACCAAGGCGAUGACGGGUAGCCGGUCUGAGAGGAUGUCCGGCCACACUGGAACUGAGACACGGUCCAGACACCUACGGGUGGCAGCAGUCGAGAAUCAUUCACAAUGGGGGAAACCCUGAUGGUGUGACGCCGCGUGGGGGAAUGAAGGUCUUCGGAUUGUAAACCCCUGUCAUGUGGGAGCAAAUUAAAAAGAUAGUACCACAAGAGGAAGAGACGGCUAACUCUGUGCCAGCAGCCGCGGUAAUACAGAGGUCUCAAGCGUUGUUCGGAAUCACUGGGCGUAAAGCGUGCGUAGGCUGUUUCGUAAGUCGUGUGUGAAAGGCGCGGGCUCAACCCGCGGACGGCACAUGAUACUGCGAGACUAGAGUAAUGGAGGGGGAACCGGAAUUCUCGGUGUAGCAGUGAAAUGCGUAGAUAUCGAGAGGAACACUCGUGGCGAAGGCGGGUUCCUGGACAUUAACUGACGCUGAGGCACGAAGGCCAGGGGAGCGAAAGGGAUUAGAUACCCCUGUAGUCCUGGCAGUAAACGGUGCACGCUUGGUGUGCGGGGAAUCGACCCCCUGCAUGCCGGAGCUAACGCGUUAAGCGUGCCGCCUGGGGAGUACGGUCGCAAGAUUAAAACUCAAAGAAAUUGACGGGGACCCGCACAAGCGGUGGAGUAUGUGGCUUAAUUCGAUGCAACGCGAAGAACCUUACCUGGGCUUGACAUGUAAUGAACAACAUGUGAAAGCAUGCGACUCUUCGGAGGCGUUACACAGGUGCUGCAUGGCCGUCGUCAGCUCGUGUCGUGAGAUGUUUGGUUAAGUCCAGCAACGAGCGCAACCCCUGUUGCCAGUUACCAGCACGUGAAGGUGGGGACUCUGGCGAGACUGCCCAGAUCAACUGGGAGGAAGGUGGGGACGACGUCAGGUCAGUAUGGCCCUUAUGCCCAGGGCUGCACACGUACUACAAUGCCCAGUACAGAGGGGGCCGAAGCCGCGAGGCGGAGGAAAUCCUGAAAACUGGGCCCAGUUCGGACUGUAGGCUGCAACCCGCCUACACGAAGCCGGAAUCGCUAGUAAUGGCGCAUCAGCUACGGCGCCGUGAAUACGUUCCCGGGUCUUGUACACACCGCCCGUCACAUCAUGGAAGCCGGUCGCACCCGAAGUAUCUGAAGCCAACCGCAAGGAGGCAGGGUCCUAAGGUGAGACUGGUAACUGGGAUG
rnacentral:rRNA from 1 species